AUGUCUGGUGGUGCUUCCAAAAGAUUUGGUGAGAAUGAAGACUUUGAACUUCUGCUGAGCAAAAGUGAUAUCAGAGAAUCAUCUUACCGCAAGCACUCCCUGUGGAUGGCACACUGGACAAGAGAUGGCCACAGUGCAGAACCUCAAAAUAGCAAGAGCUGUAGUCCGUUUGAGGAAAUCGAUGAUGUCGGAUAUUCAAAAGAUUGUGGGAAUUUACCUUUUGAGCUCAUGAAAGCUAGGAUGGCUGAAAGUUUGAUGGUUGGAGUUAGCCAUGGAGGUGCAUCUUCCGGGAAUACACAGCAAUUCAGUUCUAAUACGUGGGGUGUAGCACAUGAUGUUUGCCAAGAAGUUCAAUGCAAGAAUACUGAUCAGUUUAAUAGACCUUUCGAAAGAUCUAUGGUACAGAAAAAUCUGAAUGUAUAUGCUGCUAAGACAGUGAUAUCAGAAAGAUUUUCUGUACAUAAGCCUUCAGAUUUAUCUGUGGAUUCUCAUAAACUUUUGAGCUCUGACAAUCUGAGUUCAGAAUGGAGCCAUUUUCCUAUGUUUGCAAUCAAUAGGAAAAUUGACAGUAUACUCAACCCAAGACGGUCUGCUCUUUCUGUGUCAUCUGAUAAAUUUUUUGUUCCACAAUAUAAUUUGAAGGCAAAUAUAUCUGCGUCUAAUACAAUGGCAUUUUCAUCAAAGGAAUAUCAGUUCCACACACACCAAGUAUCUGAUGAAAAUAUGACUCGCUGCAAAUCUGCAGCAGUCAUCCAACCUCAUCAAGAUGAUUGUCUCGGUCUCAAUUCUGACCAUGCAGGAAGAAAUCUGAAAGGACAUUUGUCAGUUGAAGAAUCGUGCUCUUGCAGUAAGGAUGAAACUAACUCCCUUGGUAGCCCAUCAAAAGGGUCACCUUAUCAGUCUAGCAAGAAUAAAGACAUAUUUUCAGCAAGCAGAAAAGACGAUGAAAUUGUUGAAGCUUUGUUGGAACAGAAGUUAGGAACAUCUGAAAGAUGCCAAAAACAACAGGAUUGGGAGGAAGUAGUAUUUUAUGAGCCAGCAUUAGAUAGACAAUACCAGAUGAAAUCAGUUGAUGCUUCUUCCAUUGGCAAGGGCAUUGAUGUGGACAUUAAUGGCCAAGGUGUGACAUUUCCUAAUUUGUUACAAGGUGAACAACAAUAUCGCAAAGUGGAUUCUGCUGUGAAUUUCACAGAGAUCUCCAAGUUACUGGAUAAAAUUGAAAAGGCACCAGUAAUGAAGAGCAAAGGUGAAGCACUGGCUUGUAGAAAACCACCAAGGCAAAAAUUGACAAAUAGCAAGCAAAAAGGGUCCUGCUUAUUUGAAAUGUUAACGGUACCAUCCAAAUCACAUCUCACAUGCUCCAAAGAUCCAACAUAUUCGGUGAAUUCUCGCAGUAACACAAGCAGAUGUUCAUUGGAAACACAGAAACAGUUCUCGACAAAAACAGAUACAUUGUACAGCGAUACUCAUGAUGCAUCAAAAUCCAUAGCAGGGUUCGCUUCAACGUCAACACAAAAGGACUCUGGUUACCCAGACUCAGAAAAAACUGAACGGGUAGUCUCUUCCUCAACUAAAAGAGUAUCAAGCUGCUGUGAAGGAAAUGAAACAAUCAACAUGAGCUCGGAGCAUCAAAACUCUUAUUCCAAAGCAACUUGUGCUAGUAAGAAAGAAUGGAGCAUACCCAAAACGUCAAGCAUGAAUUUGGAUCUAGUUCUUUUUCAAAUGAGCAGAAUGAGAAAUCCGAUUUCCAAGGCUCCAACUGAGUCACCAGUAUGCUCAGACCCAAAUGACAAGUGGCUGAAACGCCUGAAAUGUGAUACUUCAGAUCCACAUGUUCCUUGUUCCAAGAAACCAAAGACUGGAGACAUAGCAACUCCUGGAGGAGCAUGUACCGUGUUUGGUCAAGUGCUUGAUUAUAAGAGGGACAGUGCUUGCAUGAUCAAACAGGUUAAGGAGGACCAAGUGGUGCAUGAAACAUUGAUGGACCAACAAAACCAAGAUGCGUCUCCUAUGUCAACAAAAAGUCUUAAUCACUGGAUAGGGAGGUGGUGCCAAGGUGGCUCCCCUAGUUUUCAUGGAGCUUCGAGUCCAGCAAAGCAAUCGCGAAAGUCUAACACACCACCUGAUUGUCUUGAAGGUCAGUUUCCAAGCAUCGCCGCGAUGGCUAUGAUGGGGCGUGUAAUGAACAAGCUCCGCCCUUGUGAACUUGAGAAGAGGGGUCCUUCUGUAGUCUGGAAGACAGAGGGGUUAUGA
rnacentral:rRNA from 1 species